GGGUGUUGUGAUUCGUAGCGUUGACAUAGAAUGUCAGCGAAUGCCAUUUAAACUGACUCUUAAUCAGCGGGUCGCAGGUUCGAGCCCUGCACGGCCCACCA
rnacentral:tRNA from 1 species